rnacentral:lncRNA from 1 species
CGAAUAGUUCGAAGGUGGUGUCAAGAAGAUCAACAUGGAGAAAUUUUUGUAGAAUUCGAAGAAGGUAAUUUUUAAAACUUCUAUUUAUUUUAUUAAUUCUACAAAAUUAUUACAUUCUUGUUGAUCCACAAUUCAUUAAAUCAUAUUUUUCCAACAAAAGUGUAUCCCGCCAGAAUGUUUCAACUUAUUUUUCACAAACUUUGAUAGUAUUGAUAUAGAAUUGGUUUCUGUAUUCUAGUAAAUCCGAUAAUAGUUUUUGAAUUCUUUACUAUAAUUUAUUCUCCGAUAUUUUAACCAUUAACUCGAAGAACAAGGAAGAAUAUUUUCCUCAAAAAAUUAAUCAAAAUGACUAAAUUGCAUAGAACAGAACGAAAUCACAACCGAUCAAGAUCAUGCGUGCGCAUGAAAUCCAACCGCUGCAAAAAUCUAUGAAUCCGAACUCGCGGCAGAUUCUUGGUCCUAAUACGGGUCCCACAUAGCGGAUUUUCAAGAAAAAACGAUGGUGGCAUGGCGCCUCCUCAGGAUUUUCGCGGCCUAACGCCUACGGUUUCGCUUUCUCAUUCUUUUCAUUUAAGCUUCCAAAACGUCGACGUCUUAUCACCUCACCGGUUCAAAUUUUUCUUGAUUCCAAAGUAAAACCCCUUAGCUUUUUGUAAAGGUAAAGAUGUCUGGGCUUCUAGUUCAAAGGUCAGUAAAAACAUAUGCGUAUACAAGAAUAUAAACGAUUUUUUUGGGGAAGUUCUUGUAAGUUUUGAGGUUUAGGAUAAAGUUUAUUCGAUUCUUAAGUUCGGAUAAAUAGGUUUUUUGUUGCUUUUCUUAAAAAUCUAGUUAUCUUAAAUUCUCGGGUCUUUCUUGUUUAGAUUAGAAGUAAGACGGUACUGAUUAUUCAUUAUAUGUUUCUGCUCCAAGAAUCAAGUUCCAAUUUAAUGAUCAGCUUAAUCUUUUAAAGAUCUUUUGAUGAAAUUUGAAAUUUGUCAUAUGUUCAUUGGUCGUUUAUCCAUUUUCUAUACAGAAGGGUCAAGAUAAAUUUUUAUCGUUGCAAAGUCCUAUAUUUUGAAAAUAGUUGGUCAGAUUAUUAUCUUGAAGGCAAUAAUUUUAUUCUAAAUCAGGAUUCUAUAUUGAAUGAUAGGUUAUAUACAAUAUCUGAAGGCUUUUAGAUCUUUAAUGGGGAAAAGAUUGUACUCUUUACUAUUAAGGUUCAAGAAAGGAACAUUUUUAUUUCUCAAUGUUAGGAUGAGACCAGAGGAUCGAUUUCUUUUAGUACAUUUAGGUAAAGCAGA